UACAGAGGUCCCAAGCGUUGUUCGGAUUCAUUGGGCGUAAAGCGCGUGUAGGCGGUUCGGUAAGUCUGCUGUGAAAGUCCAGGGCUCAACCCUGGGAUGCCGGUGGAUACUGUCGGACUAGAGUACGGAAGAGGCGAGUGGAAUUCCCGGUGUAGCGGUGAAAUGCGCAGAUAUCGGGAGGAACACCAAUUGCGAAGGCAGCUCGCUGGGACGUUACUGACGCUGAGACGCGAAAGCGUGGGGAGCAAACAGG
rnacentral:rRNA from 1 species